ACUGAUUCACACGCGUGUUUUGUGACUGCACUUUUCCUGUUAUUUUUUUUAUUGGUAAACAGCAUUAUAUUAAAAUGCGAUUUACAUGUAGUUCUAGAGUUUGUGUUAGUGAAAUGUAGUUGGCCGUCGGUCUACGAGUAACUCGAUGUGACUUUACUGCCUAUCAGAGUUAAUAAUCCACUCAGUUUAUACAGCCGGCGAACGCUAUGUCGUGGGGCUGCCGUUCUUGCACUAAAUUGUACGGUGCCUUGAAUGGGAGUCACUUCUACCGCUACCUUCGCACGGUGCCCUAAAUGGAAAUUUUUAUGGAUCCUUUGUUGGAUGAAUCAUUGGCUAAUCCUGAGAUGGUCAAGUUAAUCAAUAGGGACCAACUGGAGAGGUUCCGUGGUACUGGUGGAGGAGUCCGUAUUGAGGAUUAUGUUUUAAUUACUGAAGAUGGAUGUGUCAACUGGACUUAAGUUCCAAGAACUGUACAAGAAAUUGAAGAUUGGAUUGCCGGUGUUGAUGAUGAUUCCAAACACGAUUGAAUGAAUUUACAACAUCUUGAAGCUGUUAUUGUUAUCAUUUUUGUUUAUUUUGUUAAAAGUUAUAAAAAAAGAAUUAUAUAAUUGCAUAUUAUUAUCUUGUUUUCUUGCUUGUAUUGUUGAAAAUGCUGUAUACAUUAAGAAAUUGAGUUUGUGAUUGUGUAUAUUCUACAUGUUUGAAUAAAAAGGUAGUUUUAUAUUUUUGACUAUAAA